AUAACCUUUCCGAGCCGCUGCAAAAUCAGCGGUCGGAUGUGGAAGUCCGGUGA
rnacentral:ncRNA from 1 species